rnacentral:tRNA from 1 species
GCCUGGAUGGCUCAGUGGGUUAAGCGUUUGACUUCAGCUCAGGUCAUGAUCUCACAGUCUGUGAGUUCUAGCCCCACAUCAGGCU